GAAAUUUGGACAAUGGGCCAAAGCCUGAUCCAGCAAUGCCGCGUGCAGGAUGAAGGCCUUCGGGUUGUAAACUGAUCUUGUACGGAACGAAAAGCCUUGGGUUAAUAACCUGGUUUCAUGACGGUAACGUAAGAAUAAGCCCCGGCUAACUACGUCCCCACAGCAGCGGUAAUACGUAGGGUGCGAGCGUUAAUCGGAAUUACCGGGAGUAAAGCGUGCGCAGGCGUUUUUGUAAGACAUAGGUGAAAUGCCCGGGCUCAACCUGGGAACUGCCUUUGUGACUGCAAGGCUAGAGUACGGCAGAGGAGGGUGGAGUUCCGCGUGUAGCAGUGAAAUGCGUAGAUAUGCGGAGGAACACCGAUGGCGAAGGCAACCCCCUGGGCCUGUACUGACGCUCAUGCACGAAAGCGUGGGGAGCAAACA
rnacentral:rRNA from 1 species